rfam:Pelodiscus sinensis unplaced genomic scaffold scaffold5817, whole genome shotgun sequence.
GCCUGGCUAACUCAGUUGGAAGAACAUGAGACUCUUAAUCUCAGGGUCAUGGGUUCAAGCCCCAUGCUGGGCG